rnacentral:rRNA from 1 species
AAAACACCUAGCCUCGCCACACCCCCACGGGAUUCAGCAGUAAUUAACAUUAAGCAAUAAGCGAUACUACUCUUUAAGCUUGACUUAGUUAUAGUACCCCCGGUCGGUAAAUUUCGUGCCAGCCACCGCGGUUAUACGAAAGACCAAAAAUAAUAAUGCCCGGCAAAAAACGUGACUAGAGAUAUAAUCUACAAUGAAAUUUAAAUCCUAACCAAGUUAUAAAACACACCAGGAUAACAGGGAAACUCCUCAAAAUUUCAUUUAAAAUUACCCCUUGAUCUCACGAAAACCAAGAAACAAACUGGGAUUAGAUACCCUAUUAUGCUUGGUCAUAAACCUUGACAUAUUAAACAUGUCCGCCAGAGUACUACAAGUGAAAAACUUAAAACUCAAAGGACUUGACGUGUCCCACACCAACCUAGAGGAGCCUGUCCUAUAAUCGAUACCCCACGAAACACCUUACCUUUCCUAGUACAUUCAGCCUAUAUACCGCCGUCGUCAGCCUACCUUACGAGAGUUAUCUAGUAGACAAAAUCAGUUAACCACAAAAACGUCAGGUCAAGGUGUAGCACAUGGAAAGGAAAGAGAUGGGCUACAUUUUCUAAUAAGAAAAAACAACAAUACAAUGAAAAUAAUAUUCUACGGUGGAUUUAGCA